rnacentral:rRNA from 1 species
CAACCCUGAUCCAGCUAUACCGCGUGUGUGAAGAAGGCCUGCGGGUUGUAAAGCACUUUUAGUAGGGCAGAUAAUGACGUUACCUACAGAAAAAGCACCGGCUAACUCCGUGCCAGCAGCCGCGGUAAU